rnacentral:rRNA from 1 species
UAACCUGCCCAAGAGAUCGGGAUAACACCUGGAAACAGAUGCUAAUACCGGAUAACAACAGAUGAUGCCUAUCAACUGUUUAAAAGAUGGUUCUGCUAUCACUCUUGGAUGGACCUGCGGUGCAUUAGCUAGUUGGUAGGGUAACGGCCUACCAAGGCGAUGAUGCAUAGCCUAGUUGAGAGACUGAUCGGCCACAUUGGGACUGAGACACGGCCCAAACUCCUACGGGAGGCAGCAGCU